rnacentral:rRNA from 1 species
ACAUACUUUAGAGCCUAAUUCAUUUUAAUUAAUAAUUAAAAUUACAUUCAAAUCCAAAUUUAAAAUUUUAAUUCAAAAAUUCUUCCUAUAAAUAAAUUUAUUGUAAUCCAUCUCUACUUUUAAAAGCUGCACCUUGAUCUGAUUUUUAAUAAAAUUUUAUAUUAAAAUUAUAUAUUUCAAAAAAUAAUUUUCAACGACGAUAUACAAGCAAAAAUUAAAAGUAUUAUUAAUCGUGGGUUAUCAAUUACAGGACAGAUUCCCCUGAUUGGAAUAAAAAACCGCCAAAUUUUUUGAUUUUAAAGAUCAUAACUUAUAUUCAUCAAGUAUAGCAAUUUUCCACGUCUAGAAUAAAGGGGUAUCUAAUCCCAGUUUAUAAUCUAGAUUUCUUAACUUCAUAAUCAAAAAUUUAAAUUAAUUAAAAAAUAGGAUUUCACCCAAUAUUCAUUAAAGUAAAAUUUAAUUUUUUAUUAAUUAAGUAUUAUAACCGAAAAAAAAUAAUUGCAUUAUUUGUAUAACCGCA